GACGAACGCUGGCGGCGUGCUUAACACAUGCAAGUCGAACGGAAAGGCCCUGCUUUUGUGGGGUGCUCGAGUGGCGAACGGGUGAGUAACACGUGAGUAACCUGCCCUUGACUUUGGGAUAACUUCAGGAAACUGGGGCUAAUACCGGAUAGGAGCUCCUGCUGCAUGGUGGGGGUUGGAAAGUUUCGGCGGUUGGGGAUGGACUCGCGGCUUAUCAGCUUGUUGGUGGGGUAGUGGCGUACCAAGGCUUUGACGGGUAGCCGGCCUGAGAGGGUGACCGGCCACAUUGGGACUGAGAUACGGCCCAGACGCCUACGGGAGGCAGCAGUGGGGAAUAUUGCACAAUGGGCGGAAGCCUGAUGCAGCAACGCCGCGUGCGGGAUGACGGCCUUCGGGUUGUAAACCGCUUUCGCCUGUGACGAAGCGUGAGUGACGGUAAUGGGUAAAGAAGCACCGGCUAACUACGUG
rnacentral:rRNA from 1 species